rnacentral:lncRNA from 1 species
UUGUGUUAUGAGAAACUUUUUUUGAGUUACCAUGUACGACUUGCACAUUAUGUUUUCGGUUGUGCAAGUUAGUAGGGUUUUUUGUUCGAGAGUUGACUCUGCACAGCUUGUAUCAAUAUGUGCAUUUUAGCAAAGGAUUUUCAGUGUUUUUUGUUAGAGAGUUGACUUGCACAUCAUUUCUCAUCAUGCGCAACUUAGUAUGGUUUCCAUUUUCAGUGUUUUUUGUUUUAAUCUGAUGUGAAUUUUUUAUGUGCUUUUUAGUACAUUAUAAAGAGUGGUAAGUUGCACAUUAUUAACAAGGUGUUAUUUUUUGAGUUUUGUUUUCACCCCCGAUGGUGACUUUUAUGUAAAUCACCUAGUGUUUUUUUUUCAUGUACACGCCGCAAAAUUCCAGAUGGUGAGAUAGGUCUAAUAAGUUGAAGGAAGGAAAUUCAUUUUUCAACCUAAUUUUGAAUUCAGUACAUAAUAUCUCUUUAUUUUUUGCAAUUAAGUUUUUUCUACAUCCAUUAGGAACAAAAACAAAAACAAAUAAAACUAUACAACCCAUUCUUAGAAGUCCAACUAACAGCCCAACAAUCACAAAGCCCAGUUCACACCACAAAAACAAAACCAAACAGCAGGCCCAAACCCGUUGACUGGGAAAUAAGUAUUUCUCAGUCAACUGAUCAAUAGGCGCGCCCAAAUUAAAUUACCGAAUUAAAUUUAGUUCUACGGAUAACAAG